UUCUCUCUUCUUGUGAUCGGUAGCAUCGAGCCCAAGUCUAAUUUCAAUAAGACAAAUACUGCUUGUUGGAAAUCGAUCAAUAUGUUUAUUAUGUCCUUUUAAUAUAUUAUAAAUUAUAAAUUAUAAAUUAUAGAUUAAAGUGAAAUAAGAGUUUCAUUUUUUAUAAAAUUAUGUAAAACAAUUUUACUAAAAAUAAAAAUGAUAUAAAAUUGGAGGACCGCUUAAAAUAACAAAAAAUAGAAAUUCUCCUAUUAGAUUGCAUGUAUAUGUGAGACGGGUCGGAUCGGGUCAGGUCAGGAUCGGGGAGCAGGUCUGGGCUCGGGUUGCGGGUUUGGGCCAGAUAAUUCAAAGUAAUUAUUAUUGUGGUAAAAAUUAGUAAUAAUCCACAUGAAGAAAAACAUUAUACUGUAUCGAUAAUUAUUUUUUUCUUAUAAUAAUAAUUAUUUUUAUAACCCGAAAAAAAUUUGUUCUACAAUUGCAAGCCCAGAAAAAUUUGUCCUACAUUUGCAAAACGCUCAAAGUUACGGGCCUAAAAAACUUUGGGCUCUCAAAUUUAAUUUAGUUCAUCAUAUUUUAUUUUCUUCUACAAUACAUUAUGUUCCCUU
rnacentral:lncRNA from 1 species